GUGGAUAUAACUCAGUUGUAGAGCACAUGCUUAGCAUGCAUGAAGUUCUGAGUCCAAUCCUCAGUACCUCG
rnacentral:tRNA from 1 species